UAACGCGAAGAACCUUACCUGGGUUUGACAUAUACCGGAAAGCUGCAGAGAUGUAGCCCCCUUUUGGUCGGUAUACAGGUGGUGCAUGGCUGUCGUCAGCUCGUGUCGUGAGAUGUUGGGUUAAGUCCCGCAACGAGCGCAACCCUCGUCCUAUGUUGCCAGCACGUAAUGGUGGGGACUCAUAGGAGACUGCCGGGGUCAACUCGGAGGAAGGUGGGGAUGACGUCAAGUCUUCAUGCCCCUUAUGUCCAGGGCUUCAAGCAUGCUACAAUGGCCGGUACAAAGGGCUGCGAAACCGCAAGGUGGAGCGAAUCCCAAAAAGCCGGUCUCAGUUCGGAUUGGGGUCUGCAACUCGACCCCAUGAAGUCGGAGUCGCUAGUAAUCGCAGAUCAGCAACGCUGCGGUGAAUACGUUCCCGGGUCUUGUACACACCGA
rnacentral:rRNA from 1 species